UACGUAGGGGGCUAGCGUUGUCCGGAUUUAUUGGGCGUAAAGAGCGUGUAGGCGGCCAGGUAGGUCUGCUGUGAAAACUCGAGGCUCAACCUCGAGACGUCGGCGGAAACCAUCUGGCUAGAGUCCGGAAGAGGCGAGUGGAAUUCCCGGUGUAGCGGUGGAAUGCGUAGAGAUCGGGAAGAACAUCAGUGGCGAAGGCGGUCUGCUGGGCCGUUGCUGACGCUGAGGCGCGACAGCGUGGGGAUCAAACAGG
rnacentral:rRNA from 1 species